CCUGCUCCAAGUGGGUUGUGCAUGACUGGGCUUCCACACUCCAAAGAGGAGUUCCAUUUCAAGGAUGUCACAUUUGUAAUGUUUCUGUCAUCCUCUGGAUUAACUGCUGUAUAAUUGCAGUUUGGUACUAAGAAUGCCCUUAGAAACCAUGUGCUGAAGAUGGCAGUGCUUUUGUCAGCCUGGGUUCCUGAAUAACUGCAUGGAACAGAGCCUUUACCAUAUACCCCAACCCCAAACAAAGAACACCUUCAUUGGACUAUUACACAAAAUAAACAUGGCCAUUCUUGAUAGACAUGUUGACUGAUGGACUGAGAGAUAUAGAUACAUGCCAUGAGAUCUCUUUAUGAGCAGUGGUCUUAUGGAUAUCUGCAUGACCUCUGCUGAAGUAAAAUACUGUGGUUCGUGAGAAGACGUGACCUUUGGAUACAGCUGGUCUAGUCCUGGCUCUGCUGUGUCAGUGAAAGUGGAACAGUUACAUGGCUCUCCCGAAUCUCUGUUUUCACUUGGUUAAAUGAGGGUUACAUGUACUUACUUCCAGUGUUGUUAUGAGAAUUAAAUGAGAUUAAAUGUUAAAAUUUGUGAGCGGUCAAUAUAUGUACUUCUUUUCUCCCCCUCAGUCUCUUAAGAAUAUUCUACACCAGUAUUGCAGAAUAAAGAAAAAUGGAUAUGUUAAUUUGUUUGAUAUAAUCAUUCCACAAUGUAUACAUAUAUCAGGUGGGGAGCAGUGGCUCAUGCCUGUAAUCCCAGCACUUUGGGAGGCCGAGGCAGGCAGAUCACUUGAGGCCAGAAGUUCGAGACCAGCCUGUCAACAUGGCAAAAACCUGUCUCUACUAAAAAAUUUAAAAAUU
rnacentral:lncRNA from 1 species